AGUAAUGUAAUACAGUCAUGUAGCACUUCAUUUAUUGAGGCUGCUGCUGUUUCUCCAGCUACGAGACAGGUCCUGCAACAUCGACUCCCUUGAAGAGAAAACCUUUGCAAGUCCCAGCUCCAGCAUUGUCUAGCAUUGGUGCUUCUAGUGGAACAGACCGAGAUGAGCAUCUUGAUGUCAUUCCAGAAGCCACAGAAAUUCAGGGCCUUGAACAAAGCUUACAUGACAUGAGCAUUGUUGAGGAGGACUUGGAGGAAAAUGUUUUCAAUGACCCAAUGAACAGUGUAUUUUUGUGCCUCAAUAGAAUGGGUGGAGCACUGAAGAAAGCACACUCUAUCGAUGGACUUCCUUGCCUGCACAUUAAGACCCUCCUGAUGAGCCUUCUCUCCCUGUGAUCAUGACCCUGUUUUCCCAGAGCCACAGAAUGUCCUUUGUGAAGAUGACAUCAUAGGUGUAAGAGCCUCCAUAGUGUAUGAGAACUGCUUAAGACAACUGGCUACAUUUCUGAUCCUGCCUGUGGCUAAAUGCACUGGCCUUCUGAGGACUGGUGCGCCGUUCAACUCUGUUGCACCCUUUGAGAUCAACAUCACCACCAAAGGAACAGCAGCUACUAUCGAAUGGGUAAGUCCAGAAAAUCACAGAAUAUCUCAACUUUAAAUUAGUAUAAAAUGAAAGAUUAUACCAAAAGCCAGUGCUGUACAUGACAAAA